rnacentral:rRNA from 1 species
GAUCAUGGCUCAGAUUGAACGCUGGCGGCAUGCCUUACACAUGCAAGUCGAACGGCAGGCGCGGGAGCAAUCCUGGCGGCGGAGUGGCGAACGGGUGAGUAAUAUAUCGGAACGUGCCCAGUAGUGGGGGAUAGCCCGGCGAAAAGCCGGAUUAAUACCGCAUGAGACCUGAGGGUGAAAGCGGGGGAUCGCAAGACCUCGCGCUACUGGAGCGGCCGAUAUCAGAUUAGCUAGUUGGUGGGGUAAAGGCCUACCAAGGCAACGAUCUGUAGUUGGUCUGAGAGGACGACCAGCCACACUGGGACUGAGACACGGCCCAGACUCCUACGGGAGGCAGCAGUGGGGAAUUUUGGACAAUGGGCGCAAGCCUGAUCCAGCAAUGCCGCGUGCAGGAAGAAGGCCUUCGGGUUGUAAACUGCUUUUGUCAGGGAAGAAAUCCCUUGGGAUAAUACCUCGGGGGGAUGACGGUACCUGAAGAAUAAGCACCGGCUAACUACGUG